UACGGGGGGGGCAAGCGUUGUUCGGAAUUACUGGGCGUAAAGGGCUCGUAGGUGGCCAACUAAGUCAGACGUGAAAUCCCUCGGCUUAACCGGGGAACUGCGUCUGAUACUGGAUGGCUUGAGUUUGGGAGAGGGACGCGGAAUUCCAGGUGUAGCGGUGAAAUGCGUAGAUAUCUGGAGGAACACCGGUGGCGAAGGCGGCAUCCUGGACCGGCAUUGACGCUGAGGCGCGAAAGCUAGGGGAGCAAACGGGG
rnacentral:rRNA from 1 species